rnacentral:lncRNA from 10 species
AAGUUCAUCCGCGGCCCUGAGGCCUGUGGGAAACGUAGUCCAACAACGAAAGAGCCCUGAAGCUCAAGCGGAGCCCGCUGGCCGCAGGGGCCGCACCACGCCCCAGACCCUGGAGUUUCCGGGUGCGCAGACCCUUGCCAUCAGCAGAGGCUGCCGCUGCGCGUCCCCUAGGCGCGGAAGAGGCGGCUGGUGGUCCCUGACGGCAAGGUGAAGUCGAGGCAGUAAUCGGGAACCCAGGUUUUAUACAUUACGAAUAAAGCUGGCACGUUUCCAUUUCUCCUGGGCAAAUAUUUAGAAGAAAAGUUGCUGGGUAAUUGAAGCACUGAGACCACAGAGGCAAGAGCUGGGGAAGGAAAACUGCCCAUGAGAUGAGAUGUGCCUCUCAGCUUCCAAAAUCGGGGAGGGUUGCAAAGGGAUGACACCAUCCACACCAGAACUGCAUGAAUGGCAUCAGGAAUGAUCAGAGACCAUAAAUUCCAGUGAGACCAAUAACACCAUUUCUGGUCCUGCAUGCUCUUCCAAACUUUGCCACUAACCCCUUCAAGAGGCUAGGUUAGAAAAGGCAACAGAACUUCAUCCUAAUCUCUCUCAAGAUGCCCCCCAUGGAAUCCAGCCAUCAUGCUGUGAGGAAUCCAAGCAGCUACAUAGAAAGGCCACAACUAGAUAUUCCAGCUGUAGUCAGCUGAAGCUCCAGCCAACAGCCAACAUCAACCACCACACGUGAAAACGAGCAAGCCUUCAGAUGAUUCCGACUCCCAACCUCCAAGCCACCUCAGCUGAAGCCAAGUAGAGCAGAGACUAGCUGUCCCCCAAUGCUCUAAUAUGCAGAUUCAUAAUUAAAAAGAAUGUUAUUGUUCUAAGCCAUGAAGUUUUGGGGUGGUUUGUCAUGCAGCAACUGGAACUGCC